rnacentral:rRNA from 1 species
GACGAACGCUGGCGGCGUGCUUAACACAUGCAAGUCGAACGAAGAGCGACGGACUCUUUCUUCUAUCAGUCUUAGUGGCGGACGGGUGAGUAAUGCGUAAUCAACCUGCCCUUGAGAGGGGGACAACAGUUGGAAACGACUGCUAAUACCGCAUACGGUCUUAUCUCGACAUCUAGGAUAGAGGGAAGGUUGCCUCUACAUGUAAUCUAUCACUGUAGUAUUAGAUUGCGUCUGAUUAGCUAGUUGGCGGGGUAACGGCCCACCAAGGCGAUGAUAAGUAGCCAACCUGAGAGGAUGAUCGGCCACAUUGGGACUGAGACACGGCCCAGACUCCUACGGGAGGCAGCAGUAGGGAAUCUUCCGCAAUGGACGGAAGUCUGACGGAGCAACGCCGCGUGAGUGAUGAAGGCCUUCGGGUCGUAAAGCUCUGUUAAUAGGGAAGAACGGGCUUCUUGCGAAUAGUGAGACGGAUUGACGGUACCGGACUAGAAAGCCACGGCUAACUACGUG